GGGCGGGCCCUGGCUGCUGCCGCUGGUGGGCGAAGCUAAGGCGGCGCAGACGCGGGGCGGGCGUGGCGGGCGGCAGCGAGCAGAGCAGGCGGGUGGCGGGCGAGGAGAAGCUGAAGGAGUAUCAGCAGAAAAAUAGCCCUGGAGCAGCUGCAGGAACUAAGAAAAAACGCAAAACUAAAGAUGACUGUCGGCCCGAGACACCCACGGGCGAUGACCAGCAGCCUCCAGAGAAUAUUCAGAACAUUCUGAAGGUGCCGGUGUCGGACCUGAAGCGCUCCAAUGGGGUAGCCAUACCGUCAUUGGACAGGGGGAAGGUGAGGCAGUGCUCGUGUCCCUCGCAGUGACUCGCUCUCCCUACUGCAUGCUUCAGGUUCUGUUUACACUGACCUCGAUUUCUUGGGUGGAGCCUUGUCCUGACAUACCCGCUGUCAGUUGCUUGAGUUCUGUUGCUGUUCUUAUUAACAUGGAGCUAGUUGUUAGCAUGCGUUUCCAUUGCUCGUAAAGUGCUUGCGCCCUUCUGGUUUGUGUCGAACUGAACGUGUGAAAAAGUGAACCUUGUCAAAACCUCUUCCUCGAGACAGCUGAGCUUUGAGGAAAAGGAGGAGUGUGGGGUGAGGCGAUAAACUAACUGAGCUGCUGAGGACAACUGCAGUAGGGAGAGGUAGUGUUUUCUUAGUCUGUAUUUCUCCCGCUGUGCGUGUCGUUGCUGUAUUUCCUACGGCCUUGUUUCGGAAGGGCAUGACUCUGCUGAUCUCCAGGCAAGCAGCUGCCCUGAGGAAGCUGUCUAGUUAUUCCUGCCAACCCAUUUUACAGCAGGCGAUGAAACUUGCGCAGGGGAUGUACAGUCUGGCAAGUUCCAGUACUGGGUUUAAAUAGGUUUGGGCAGGAAGUCGGAUCCUUUGAGUCAAGCGUUUACAGGCUUUAGCGUCUUCAUGUUGCCAGGCUUCUGAAGAGGAAAGGGCAGGAACUAUGCCAAUAAGCAAUAGAAACGUGUUCAGGCACAAACAUAAAACCCCAGCCUUUUAAAAAAAAUUCUUUUCAGGCAGUUUAUUUAAAUGUAAGGCUUGAUCAAAUUGUGAUAGAAGCUCAGGGAAGUCACAUUUGGUAGCCCAGAAUUGUCUUCCACUGUUGCUGUAGCAAAGCUCUGAUUUUCGUUCCACUUGCAUCAUUUUGGUAGCUUAUUUUCCUACCAUUGUUUCAGUUCAGUUGUCGUAAAGUAACUCCUAUUUACUACAUAUCCGUGCGUCUUUUAUCAAUAAGCGUAACUAUAGUAAUCACCAGGGGUACCAGUUAGAUGCAGUGAAACCUGCAAGACGGAAUGGAGUUCACUCUGGUUUGCCUUUGUAUUCCUUUUCUCCUUUUUUUGUGUGAUAAUACAGCAGCCGUUCUGUCCAGCAGACAGGGUGAAAAGCUGAAAGUCCCUCCAGCUGGAGCUUGUACGUGUAGGUUGCGUACCGGUAGAACCCGAGUGACGUGACAUACUGUUAGCUCUGAGGGUGCUGGGUGUGCCUGCCUAGCAUCAGAAAGCAUGUAUUUUGACUGGAGUUUUGCUCGUGUCACGGGGAUUAUUUUCAGUGAAUGCUCGUAAGCUCAGUUUAAGUUAGACCACAGAGAAAGAGGCUGGUUUCACACUGGAGGGUGAGGUGAAGAUGGGUGGUCCAGUGCUGUUGCUGAGCUGGCAUUUGGUCUUGCGGUGAAGGCCUACCUGGGUCUGCACUUUUAGUCCUGCUCUGAAAGAGGAGAAUUCUGUUCCUUCUUGUUUUCCCAGUUUUCUCCCCGCUCUCGUUUUCUUAGCACGGAGAGAUACAUUUUGAUCUGAUUGGCUGUUAUGUGGACCGUUGUGUCUGGGGUUUCAGAAAUCAUUUGAAAACUGAUCGUGAAUUGCAAUAUGGCAUGAAAGGUUUCUUUUUCCAGUUGCCGUCUUGUACAAAUCCUGCGUCAGGAAAAUGCUGUUCAGAAGCUCACUUGACGCUAAUAGGGCAGAAAAGCUGAUUGUUGGCACGAGCUUCUGCUGCCAUUGGUGUCUUUAAUGCGAGGCAGACCCUUCCCAUCUCAGCCACUUCAGCUUUCUUGGCUGUGAAACACAGAAAGCCCAGCAAAACGGGACUCCGUGUGCGAAAGCAAAUGGAUCAAGCAUGGCGUGCCAAGCUGAGCAGAAUUACUUUUUUUUGCUAUGUUAUUAGAACCUCACGAUGCAUAAUUUCCCGAGAAGUGUCUUGUUCCUAAUUCUCUCUGUUUCCAACAAAUCCAGCUGUUCAAAUAGUUUAUUGAGUUGUUGUUUUUUUUUAAAAUUUAUUUCAAAACUGAUGGUGGAGGAAGAAGGAAGGUCUUGUGGUUAAGGCACAUUACUGUUUUUUGCAUCUUGAAGCAUUAAGCAAACAGAAUGUCUGGACCAGAAGAAAUGAAGGAAACAUUUUUGACAUGUACUGGUGAAGGCAUUCCUCUUGUCCAUCUGAUGUUUCAUAUUGAGGAGUGUUUGAACCAAUAAGGGUGAGGUGACCUGUAGCUGGAAGAAGUAAGGGAAUUCCUGACCUUCCUAGGAGCACCUAACAUACGUUUUUCCUUGAGAGCACAAGUAUCUGUCCUGCGAAAAAGAAACGGAGAAAAUUCUGUUUGUUUCCCUCUGCAGUCUUCCACUUUAUUGCUUUCCUAAGAUGUCUUCACCAUUACCGUAUUCUUGCUGCUUGAUUCACGAGAAAAGUGCUGAGCAGGUAGACGGGGAAUGCCAAGAGAGAGAUUUCUGGUUCCCUGUGAAGUGCCAAGAAGGAAGUGACUGAAGUAGGAGGGAACCCUUGCAGGUGGCAUUGCAAAGAGCUGUGAUACAUUGGGGGGUUGAAUGUUGAAAACGAUUAUCUCGUUUGUUUUGUAGUGGUUUUAAAUUAUGGCUUAGCAGAGCUGGAUGAUGAAAUAAAUUGCCAUGAAACGCUAGAGCACUGCUCUGGGUCUUCAUGGCUCUCUGAUGCUGUACAAGAUAAAUGAAGUUGUCGGGUUCACUGUGGGUAGAGGUGUCGUCAGAUGCUGUUCGUCCUCCCACGAAGGCUGGAUGAGAACUUGCAUUGCUGUCCAGGAACAAGUUUUUGGCCCUUUUCUGUUUAGUUCCUUCUAGUCAUGGGAUUCAUAGUUCCAUGAGGGCCACUGGCACCUGCUCCCAGCCACGCUGAGUUUGGCCUGUUGGUAAAUGUCCUCCUUCUAAACUUGUGGUUCAUAGCGUGCCGCACAUUUCACCAAGAUUUACAGGGAGCGUUUGAGUUUGACUCAAAAACCUACCAGUUUUCAGGUAGUCACUGACCUGUUCUUUUCUGUCUUAAUCUGCAUCCAGCGACCUCUGUUUUCCCCAGAUACGUCCUGAAGGUAGCGCUUUUCAGAGCAGAGUGGCCACCAUCUGGCUUUGCCCUCGCUCGCUUCUUGGUGUGUCCUUUGCCAUUAAUCUAGAGUGUGAACUUGAAGAGUUGGGUGACGUUACUGCCCCAUGUUAAAGCAGCGAGUUUGAUGACGGGACGCUGGUUCUUCAGACUGGCUCUGAGAGGGCACAGGUCUGGGACAGUGUUUGUUUGUGGGUUGACGCAGUCACCUGUUUGCUCUGGGGAGAACACAGGUUCCCUUCCACAUGUUUUUACAUGAUUGAUUGUUUACAUCUAGUUUUCACAGGCAGAUCACAAGGUGACGUCUUGACGUGCGUUUGUUCAUUUUGCAUGAAGGCUGUAAUUCCUGCGAUGUG